CCUGAUAGCAGACUACUCCGAUCCGGAUCCGUUUUACCUCCGGCAGAUCCGCGCUACAGUCAGGUCUGUUUAGUGGAUCUGGUCCGGCUUCACUCCGGGUUCGGGUUAUGAUUGUGACUCACGUUCAGAUCCGUUUUACUGACGGUAAAUCCGCAUAACAGUCCGUCUCAUUUCACGCCUUCCAUAUGACUUCGGCACGGAGUCGGAUACCAGAUGUGAGUUCAGUGUCAGUUCAGUGUCGUUUUGCGGAUCCGGGCCGCAUCGGCGGAGCGGCACAGGAGCGGGAGAAAUUCAAACUCAGCGCGAGGACCAACUGACAUCUGCUGAAUCUGCGCUUCAGGGCUGCUGAGGGCUGGGGACCUGAGAUAAGGUGUAAUCAUUUACCCAACAAAUCACCUAACAAGGAUCAGCCUGGAUCCUAACAGUACUUGAUGCACUGAGCAGUGACAUUAUACAUAGAGUAGUUAAGCAGGAUUUGGUAUCCGCAAAAUGGUUCGAGGUCCUCAGCCCUCGCCUCCCCCAGCACAGAGGAAAACUACCAAGGGCGGUACUCUCAUUAUAGGAGAUUCAAUUGUUAGACAUUUAAAAGUAUCUAAGAGUAAUGGCACAAUUUCAUGUCUUCCAGAUGCAUGCGGCAAGCGGCUCCCUGGGGUGCAUUGCCAAAGCAGGAACCCCGGCACCAUCGCCCUCCACGUGGAGAUGAGCUUUCGGGAGCGACCGGCCCCGUUCCACAGAGACAGGCUUCUCUCUGUGAACAUCGAGGCGGUGCUACGCUGAGACUGACUGUCUCUACCCAGUCACACCAGCCAAGCUGCACUGUAGUGGUGUUAAGUGUCCAAGAAUGCUCUCAUCAGUGGAGGCACAGCUGGCUGCAAAAAACGUCUGUGUCUGCAUGUUUAUAUUAUGUGAAUUAAAAAUGGUUUUAUUAUUAAAAUAAUUGUAUUAAUGCCUGUUGAUUUAUAAAUUGUUUAAUUGAAAUCAAAUUUUAUUUAAGUAGCUUAAUUAAGUAUUGCAUUUAUAACUGAUGGUAUUUUAUUUAAUUAGCUUAAGUAUUGCAUUUAUAAGUGAUGGUAUUUUAUUUUAAUUAGCUUAAGUAUUG